GAUGAACGCUGGCGGCGUGCCUAAUACAUGCAAGCCGAGCGAACAGAUAAGGAGCUUGCUCCUUUGACGUUAGCGGCGGACGGGUGAGUAACACGUGGGUAACCUACCUAUAAGACUGGGAUAACUUCGGGAAACCGGAGCUAAUACCGGAUAACAUUUGGAACCGCAUGGUUCUAAAGUGAAAGAUGGUUUUGCUAUCACUUAUAGAUGGACCCGCGCCGUAUUAGCUAGUUGGUAAGGUAACGGCUUACCAAGGCGACGAUACGUAGCCGACCUGAGAGGGUGAUCGGCCACACUGGAACUGAGACACGGUCCAGACUCCUACGGGAGGCAGCAGUAGGGAAUCUUCCGCAAUGGGCGAAAGCCUGACGGAGCAACGCCGCGUGAGUGAUGAAGGGUUUCGGCUCGUAAAACUCUGUUAUUAGGGAAGAACAAAUGUGUAAGUAACUGUGCACGUCUUGACGGUACCUAAUCAGAAAGCCACGGCUAACUACGUG
rnacentral:rRNA from 1 species